GGAUUUAGUCCGUUUCAGAGUCUAUGGAAAGCUUAUUGAGUGUACUAUAACAUAUCACAAGUCCAGAAUUUUUAGAGCACCCUAACAAAUCCGAAAUUUUCUGUUUAGGGCAGCAGUCCACUAAUUCAUUUAAAAAAAAAAAACUGUUUUGGUUCAUCUUCUUUGUUCAAGCUUAUCAACCCUAAAAAUGGCAAGAUCUAACCAUAAAAUAUCAUAUAUCAUGUAGAUCUUCCCUCAUAUGGAUCAUAAGUUCAACACUUGAUGAAAAACAACCAUCACAAAACACAUAAACUAACUAGAGUUUUGAGUUUAGGAAAUUUUAUACCUUUGAUUCCAACCAAAAUCAACACCCAAUAUUGUUAGAUCCAAACAUGAAACACUUAUAUAUACAUAGAUCUAAGGUUUUAAACCUCAAGAUCACAACUUCAAGUUAUCAAAAAUCAAAUCAAACUACCAAGGAAAAUAAACUACAUAAGAAGAAAUUUUUGUUAUACCUUA
rnacentral:lncRNA from 1 species